AAUGGGGAAAAUACCAAGUUGUGGACGAAAUGGUAAAAAUAGCCAUUUUAGCAUACGAGUGUUGACAAGCCAGCUCGGAAAUCGGAAACGGUCGGAGGCACGCUCACACUAUCCGUAUACCAUCUUGGCAUAAUGGCUUGUAUAUUUUGAGUAUGGCAUGUAUAGCAUUAUAAUCAUUUUAUAUGUAUGGUCUUAUGAUAUGGUUAUUGAGUGGUAUGGAAAUAGAAAUGCUUGGUAAUGAUUAGCCAUUGGAAUGGCUAAUCAUGAUCAUAUUUGGUAUUAUGUAUGUCAAAUUGCUAGCUAAUCCAUGGAAACCAUGAAAUAGGUAAAAUUUACCAUAAAA